UUACUGGAGGACCAGUGGUUAGGCCUUGGUGCUCUCACCGCCAAGGCACGGGUUCGCUUCCCAGCCAGGGAA